GUGACGUGGGCGGCUCCAGGCCGCAGGUGAGCGGGCGCGGCCUCGCCUCCGGCCUCCGCCCCAGCCCUUGCCUUCUGUACGAAGCGGAUGGUGCCCUCCACCGGGCCCUGGCCCUUCAGCACGCACACAGCCUUCAUCUCCAUGACUCCCGAGAGCGCGUUCCGGUCUCGGCUUCGAGGGCUCCGAGGACUCCGAGGGCAGCAGAGGACGCCGCAGAAGACACCGACGCAACCCGAGGUGGCCGCGCCGCGCGUCUUAAAGGCCGGAGCUCUUCGCUCCACCCACCCUGGCCCGGAACCAAUCGCCACCCGCGCUCAGCCCGCGCCCCACGGGACCUGGGCACGCGAGUGGCCCCGGACGAUCGGGGGCGGGACUAAGGGGCCGCGUGGGGAACCUUGCGUACUGCACCGCCGGCUCCCUCCGCCCCGCGGCUAGAAAACGCCCAGAAACCUGGAAGUGUGGAAAAAAUCAGCCCUUCCCUUCCAGCCUGUGGAUUGCAGUUCGCUAACCUGGGAAAAAGAGAUGGGAGCUCCCUGGAGCUCCCUUCUGCUAGAUUGGAUGUGGACUUUUCCGGUCAAUCGUUGCUCCAAGUCUUAAAAUGUUUAAUGUGCCUCAGCUUACUUUCAACAAGACUGAGCCCUGAUCGGCACCUGCAGGCGUUUGGACCUCACCGGCCUCCUCUCCACCGUCUUCCCUGCCUGGCUUUCCUGCUGGACCGGAAGCCGCCUGGGGCCGGCCUUCGCCCGGGCAGGCGCUCUGACUCUCCUCCGCCGGAGCACCGCACCUGGAUCCCCAUGCAGAUGCGGAUCCCCACGGGCUGCAUGCAGUGAGGACAGGCAGGCCCGGAUGAGAAGCCCCAGGGCAGGAACCUGCAGCUUCUGGGCCCCGAGUUGGACUCCCCAGUGCACCGUCGAGCACCAGGUGCCUGGCCAGUUUCAGCGUGUUGUGGCCCAGAAUUUCUCUUAAACAGCCGGGACCUGGGUUGUCUUACUGGAUUCCGGAAACUGAAACUGUCCUUCCGAGACAAGUUUAAUGAGAAGAUAAAUAUAUCAAAAAGAAUUAGGCCCACCAA